ACUACGGGUGGCAGCAGUGGGGGAUAUUGCACAAUGGGGGGAACCCUGAUGCAGCGACGCCGCGUGAGUGAAGGAGUGCUUCGGCAUGUAAAGCCCUAUCGGCAGGGAAGAAGCAAGACGGUACCUGACUAAGAAGCCCCGGCAAACUACGUGCCCGCAGCCGCGGUAAUACGUAGGGGGCGAGCGUUAUCCGGAUUCACUGGGUGUACAGGGAGCGUAGGAGGCCAUGCAAACCAGGGGUGGAAGCCCGGGGCCCAACCCCGGGACUGCCCUUGGAACUGCAUGGCUGGAGUGCGGGAGGGGCAGGUGGAAUUCCUGGUGUAGCGGUGAAAUGCGUAGAUAUCAGGAGGAACACCGGGGGCGAAGGCGGCCUGCUGGACCGCGACUGACGGUGAGGCUCGAAAGCGUGGGGAGCGAACAGGAUUAGAUACCCGUGUAGUC
rnacentral:rRNA from 1 species